GUCCACAGAGAUCCUCUUUGCUUCCCACAUUCCUCUCUGGGCUGUUAGAGCUCUGAAAGACCACCUUCUGCUGCUGCAGGAUGACAGAACGACACCGAACACAACAGGCCACCGUGCUGACACCAUCUGUGGUGUAGAAAACACUGCUGCUGGAGAGAGGGACAAGUUGCUGUGGCAGCAGAAUAAACAGGAGACGCCUGCAGAGACUCAACCCGAGGAAGAGAUCGUUCCACCCACCUUUGCUGGCAACGAGGCCUGGCUCACAUCCCUCUGUGUGUGUGUGUGUGUGUGUG